UGUACUCGUGUUAUUGUUCGCGUAGUGGGUGUUAUAAACUCGCGGAUAACUUAUUUCUCACUUACUUUUAUGUGUGUUAUAUUUGUGAAUGUAAUUGUGCAGUGAUUGGUGUGUGUGUAAAUUAUUUUGGAACUUGGAACUUUUGGAGGCUUUUACUUCUGGAACUUGGGUCUUCUAUCCUCCCGUUCGAGUAUAUUUCGUCAGAUGUAAAGGUGUUUCGUGAAGAGUUUCUACACUGCAGAUCAAAAAGAUUAACAAAGACGGAGUUUGGCGAAUCUAAAGAUGGAGAGCCGGAGCAGUUGGGGGUCGCGGCGGCACCGCUGUAGGUGAAUGCCAACCAACAUGACGCCGCCGGCGUGGGUGUUCGCGGUGGUCGCCGUACUAACGCUGGCGACCACUCGCGCCUACCUCAUCCUCGUCCCCGACACCGCUCCGCCAGGACACGUGGUCAUCGACGCCGCCGUCUACAAACUGGGCUCCGAAAGAAACUACAACAUCGAUGUCCACAGAACUGCGAAUUUUGUCCAUCACAUACUCAGAGUCAAUAGAACCAGUGGCCUCGUCACUUUGAGAAAGAGGCUAAGAUGUGACGGAGUGCUCUACCCAAACCUCUUCACUUUCUAUGUAGACUCCACAUCGGAACGCAUACGUGACAUCGACUACUACAGCCUGCCUAUCAGAAUCCUUGUGACUGGCGAAGACUGCAGUAGGAGACAUGCUGAACUGUAUGACAUAGACUUCGAUCGUGUCUACGACCAGAAUGACGCAGCUUUACAAUAUGAAGAUCAACCGAUCAGAGAUAAAAGAGAAGCUGUAUAUCAAGAGAGUAUAGACUGGAGGUUGUUAGAAGGAGAAGAAUUAGUCUCUAGUCAAUAUAAUGUCCUGUCCACGGCGUAUCCGUGGUCGAACAUUAUGUUCGAGGACUUUGUAGCGAGAAAUAAAAGUAGGAGGAAACGAUCUCAAAACGUAAUACCAUUCGAUAUGGCCAUAGAUGUAAAAAUAGCUGAAGCGAAGCAAUGGAUAUCGGAAACAUACGCGAGCUUCGCUAUCCCGACUACGGAUCGAUGGCAAGGGAUUUGUCUGAAGCAAUCGCAGUUUGUGAAUUCUCUUACGGCAUUUUUACCUAGAACGGUUCAAAAGAUGUGUAAAGUGCAGUUUUUAGAUGUGAGUGACCCGAGGUUUAUGAUUGAAGCGAGUCAAGGUGAUUUGGUCGCGAGUGGAGAUAUUUGUAUACAAGAACCUAUGUGGAAAGUGUCGAUACUCUUUACGUUUAACUGUGAAAAGAUAAACAUAGUGGAUUCGGAUCAUAGAUUGAAGAUAGUGUAUCAUCAUCAAGAGCUAAAUGAUACUGAUAUAGCGCGGCGGGUAAAGAGGGAACUUCGGAACCAGUCUCCUUACUUUGAGCAGGCGUUGUAUGUGGCGUCUGUGGCUGAAGAACAACCACCAGGCGUCACCGUCACUACUGUCAGAGCUCGGGACCCAGAAAACAGUCCAGUGACGUAUUCCAUGUCCAGUUUAUUGGAUUCACGGUCCGCUGGGAUGUUCGCCGUGGACUCCAGAACUGGUGUGGUUACUACCCAGGCCAGGCUGGACAGAGAGAGACUCGACGUCCACUAUUUUAGAGUAGUCGCCCAGGAUGACACUUUCCCGCCUCGAAGUGGGACCACGACUUUACAGAUCAACGUACUAGACUGUAAUGACCAUUCGCCAGUGUUUGAGAUGCAACAGUACGAGUCCUCAGUACGAGAGGGAGCUAGUCCAGGAACCACUGUCCUUACUCUCAAGGCCACCGACCAGGAUAUUGGAAAGAAUGCUGAGGUGGAAUAUUCAAUAGACAGUGUGACAGCAGAGACCCUUACAGAGGAUACAAACGAAUCAAUAGAUAAUUCAGAACAGAUAGAGGCUCAAGAUGUCUUCAGAAUAGAUGGGAGGAGUGGCGCCUUGUUGACCAGGUCAACUCUUGACAGGGAGAAGGUGGCUCGGUAUACUGUGAUUGUGAAGGCUACUGACCAAGCCAGUCCUGUGUCUGAUCGGUUGUCUAGCACUGCAACAGUCCACGUGAACAUUUUGGAUGACAACGACAACUAUCCCCAGUUCAGUGAGAAGACAUACACCGUGACUGUUGAUGAAGACAUCAGUGCCAAUGACAACCCCGUCAUCGCUAGGAUUAAGGCGACAGAUGCAGACGUUGGAGCGAAUGCGGCAAUACGUUACGCGAUAAUUGGAGGAAACACACAGAUGCAGUUUUCUAUUGACAGUCUGAGUGGAGAUGUGGCUCUGGUCAAGCCACUGGACUACGAACAAGUCAGAAGCUACCGUCUGGUUAUUAGAGCUCAAGAUGGCGGCAGUCCUUCUCGAUCCAACACCACACAGCUCCUGGUGAACGUAAAGGAUGUGAAUGACAACGCUCCGAGGUUCUACACCUCGUUGUUCCAGGAGUCUGUCAGUGAAAACGUUCCUGUAGGCUAUAGUAUCGUUAGGGUCCAAGCUUACGACGCAGAUGAAGGGAUGAAUGCUGAGAUAACGUAUACUCUAAUGGACAAGGAGUAUAACAACAAUAACGACCUUCCAAUCAGCAUAGACCCUCGAUCCGGUUGGGUUUACACUUCAUCUCAGCUGGAUCGGGAAGUGCAGGCGAAAUAUCAGUUGAUGGUAACAGCAACAGACGGAGGCUCCCCAUCUCGCUCAGCGACAGCCUCAGUAGUGGUAGUGGUACAAGACGUCAAUGACAAUGACCCAGUGUUCUCACCACCUCAGUACGAAGUGGAGCUAGCUGAAGAUGAACCUCCCGGCACUCCAGUUGUCACUCUCACUGCAACCGACGCUGAUGAAGAUAAUCGGUUACACUACGAAAUAACAGGCGGCAAUACUCGUGGCCGUUUUUCCAUAACAUCUCAGAAUGGUCGCGGGCUCAUCACCGUGGCUCAACCUCUGGACUUCAAGCAAGAGAGACGCUACGUCCUAACAGUGACUGCCACGGAUAGCGGUGGCAGAAGUGACACUGCUAUGGUCCACAUUAAUAUAACUGAUGCCAAUAACUAUGCUCCUGUCUUUGAAAAUGCUCCUUAUACUGCUUCGGUAUUUGAAGAUGCUCCAGUCGGUACAACAGUGCUAGUAGUAUCUGCAACAGACAGCGACGUUGGAGUGAACGCGCAGAUCACAUACAGCCUGAGCUCGGAGAUAUCCAACGAAGCAGUCACGCAUCACGACCAGGAGUUUGUCAUCAACCCUCAAACUGGAGCCAUUACUACCAAUAAACUGCUGGAUAGGGAGACUAUGAGUGGCUACCUUUUAACUGUGACGGCUCGAGAUGGUGGUGUACCAUCCCUAUCAGACACCACAGAUGUGGAAAUAUCAGUAGUCGAUGUGAAUGACAAUGCACCAGUCUUCAAGCAACAACUCUAUACUGCUACCAUCAUGGAAGAUGCUUUAGUUGGUACGUCGGUAACACAAGUGAGUGCAACAGACGCAGACGUCGGUUUGAACGGGCGAGUCCAUUAUGAACUGGAGCCUAAGGAUAGGGAAGAGGGGUCGUUUGUGGUAGACCCCGCAUCUGGGGUCAUAAGGACCAAUAAGGCGUUGGACAGGGAGUCUGUAGCGACGUAUGACCUUAAGGCCUUGGCUAUUGAUGGGGGUACUCCGCCUUUGAGUUCUACUGUGAUAGUCCACAUAAAAGUGGAAGACAUAAACGACUCUCCACCAGUCUUUGAGAGCGACUGCCUUACCUUCUACAUUCCAGAGAACAGUCCAAUAGGCACCACUGUAGGGGAGAUAUAUGCCCACGAUCCUGACGAGGGACCCAAUGCUGUAGUGCAUUAUUCUAUCAAAGGUGGUGACGACUCCAAUAGCUUCUCCUUAGAAACUCGCCAAGGUUCUGAUAAAGCUGAACUGGUAACCAUGGUAGACCUGGACUACGAAAGUCCUCGGAAGAAGUACGAGCUGAUCAUCCGAGCAGCCAGUCCUCCAUUGUGGAAUGACGUCAGAGUGGAGAUUUUGGUGACUGAUGUCAAUGACAACGCUCCUAUGAUGAAGGACUUCCAGAUCAUAUUCAAUAAUUACAAGGAUUGCUUCCCUGUGGGACCCUUCGGUAGGGUCCCGGCUUAUGAUGCUGAUGUUACUGAUAAGCUACAAUACCGCAUCCUGUCUGGUAACAAUGCGAACCUGGUACUACUGAAUGAGACCUCGGGGGAGAUGACACUGUCGCCACAACUCAACACCAACGUACCCAAGCUGGCCACCAUGGAGAUAUCUGUUACAGAUGGAGUGAACGAAGUAAAAGCAAUGAUGCAGCUACAAGUCCGUCUAAUAACGGAACAGAUGCUCUUCAACUCGAUCACCGUACGACUCAACGAUAUGACGGCUGAACAGUUCCUGUCGCCACUCCUUGGGUUCUUCAUCGAUGGCCUCGCUGCUAUCAUACCGUGCCCCAAGGAAAAUAUUUAUAUCUUUAGUGUUCAGGACGACACAGACGUAACAGGGAACAUACUGAACGUAUCGUUUUCCGCGCGGCGACCGGACGCGGAAGUGGGCGUGGCCGGCGAUACGUCGCCGUACUACUCACCCACACAUCUAAGGGAACGAGUGUACCUACACAGAGCCACGCUAGCCAGGCUCGCUACUGUGCAGGUCCUUCCAUUCGACGACAAUGUGUGCGUACAUGAGCCGUGCCUGAACUACGAGGAGUGCCUGACAGUGCUGAAGUUUGGCAACGCGACCGGCUUCAUCAACAGCGACUCCGUACUGUUCCGCCCGAUAUAUCCUGUCACCACCUUCUCUUGUCAGUGUCCUCAUGGGUUUACAGGGUCUCGAGAACACUACAUGUGUGACACGGAGGUGGACCUGUGCUACUCCUCGCCCUGCAUCAACAACGGGACCUGCGUCCGGCGCGAGGGGGGGUAUACCUGCGUCUGCGCGGCUGGGUAUACUGGAGUAAACUGCGAGACAGUCCUAACAUCCGCGAGCUGUCCCUCGCAGUGGGCCGUGUGCCGGAGUGGGUCGCAGUGCGUGUCGGUGCGGGAGGGGGGGUUCGUGUGCCAGGGAUGUGCCAUCGACGCCGACCACACCACUCCGCUCUGUGAACUCAGGGCCAGGAGCUUCCCUGCAUCGUCAUUCUUGACCUUUCCAGGGUUGAAACGGAGAAAUAGACUUAAUUUGAAGUUGAAGUUCGCAACCCAAUCUCCAAACGGUCUCCUCCUCUAUAACGGGCGAUACAACGAGCGUCACGACUUCCUCGCGCUAGAGACCAUUAGCACCGGCGCCGGCGCAGGGGGCGGGGCCGGGCUACGGUUCACGUUCGGGCUCGGAGGGGGGAAGGUUGACGUCACCGUCGCUGGCAACGUGGCUGACGGCAACUGGCAUACUGUGGAGAUUGAUUAUUAUAAUAGAACUGCCACUCUAAUUCUGGAUGACUGCGACAAAGCUCUCUCAUUGGCCGGGGCAGCUGACUUUGGCAUCAAGUACGCAUGCGCCAACUUCACCAGAAAGGUUUUACCGCCACGAUGUGAAAUACCUACGGAGACUUGUCACAGAUUCCUAGACCUAACAGGCCCUCUCCAGCUCGGUGGUCUUCCAAACAUCCCCAGCAGCUUCCAGGUCAAAAAUAAGGACUUUCAAGGCUGCAUAUCGGAUCUAUACAUCGACCAUAAGUUCAUAGACUUGAAUAGUUUCGUAGCUGACAAUGGAACACUGGCUGGCUGUCCGGAAAAGAGGUCGCAAUGUAGCUCCGCUCCGUGCUAUAAUGGCGCCGAAUGUAAAGACCUUUGGGAUACCUACCUUUGUGAAUGCACUGAAGGGUAUACCGGGAAGGACUGUGCUGACUCAACUCUCCCACCAUGGCGGUUCAGUGGAGACGGUAUGUUAUCAUUCAACCCACUCCUGCGGCCGAUACAGCUCCCCUGGCUCAACGCGCUGUCUCUCCGUACUAGGCAACAGGACGCGUUCCUCAUGUCCAUACAGGUUGGACAGAACAGCACUAUACUGAUUACUCUAAAAUCCGGCCACCUCCAUUACUCCUACAACGGCGAAUCAAUGUUCCUUCCAACCACUAUUCUAUCGGACGGCGCCUGGCAUCGCAUCGACAUCAAAUGGCUCGGUACCGAUAUCUCAGUCACCGUCGACUAUGGACUCAGAACUGUACUCCUGCCAAUGCUAGCCAAUAAGAUUCAAGGACAGUAUAUUGGGAAGAUCCUGAUUGGUGGACCGGAUAGCACGGCGGGGUUACUAGCGUCUGAGGUUGGGUACUUUGAAGGAUGUAUUCAGGAUGUAAGAGUGGGAACAGCGCAGUCUCUUCUCAAUCGACCAACAGUGAGAGAAAACGUAAGGGACGGGUGUCAAUCACGAGCUGACUGUAUGCUGUCCAUCUGUCCACCCUAUAGUACGUGCGUGUCGUCGUGGGACAGUACGGAGUGCGCGUGCGCCGCGGGCCGCGUGGGCGCGCACUGCGUGCCGGCCUGCGACCUGCGCCCGUGCGGCCCGCGCGCCCACUGUCGCCCGGACGACUCCGACCGGGGGUACUCCUGUACCUGCGAGGACGGGUAUAUGAUGACUUCGUCUGGCUGCGUGGCGGCGGGCGGCGGGCAGUGCCCGGGCGGGUGGUGGGGGGCGCGCGCGUGCGGGCCGUGCGCCUGCGCCGGCCGCGGGUACCAUCCGCACUGCCACGCCACCACCGGGGAGUGUCGCUGCAAGGAGAACCACUACAAGCCAGAAGGUUCCGAAGAUUGUCUACCCUGUCAGUGCUACGCGGCGGGGUCAGUGAACUCUUCAUGUGAAGUACUAACUGGACAGUGUUACUGCCGCGCCGGGGUCAUUGGCCGCGCCUGCGACUCCUGCGCUAAUCUAUACGCUGAGGUUGCGCCUAAUACUGGCUGUGAAGUGGUGUACGAUGGAUGUCCUCGCUCCUUCUCGCACGGCGUGUGGUGGCCGCGAACCAAAUUCGGAAUCGAAGCCGUCACUGACUGUCCAACUGGUACAAGUGGUAAAGCGACGCGAAUGUGCGAUGAAACACAAGUGGUGCCCUGGCAGGAACCUGACAUGUUCAACUGUACUACAUCCACCUUCUACCAGUUGAGGAAACAGUUAAGCAAGAUCGAAACUGGUGAGUUAUCAGUGAACACGUUCGUCGGCGUCCGACUGGCCGCCGACUUGACCUCUGCCUGCGAACAAACUCCUCAGUUAUACGGGGCUGAUGUACUGGUCGCUGAGGGAAUACUCCUUGAAUUACUGCAGUAUGAGAUGAAGCAAGCUGGAUUGAACCUUACGCAUAGUCAGGAUAAGGAUUAUGUUAGGAACGUGAUAAAAUCAGCGAAUACAAUCCUAAACGAGCAGUACACGAAACAAUGGUCCCGUAUCCGCGAGCUGACAGGUCACGGCAUGGAACUUCUACUGCAACGGUUCGACAACUACAUCGCAGUGCUAGCUGAGAGCCAACACGAUACUUAUACCAGUCCCUUCGAAAUUGUCACUAGUGAUCUUGUAAUCGGCGUAGACAUAGUAACAGCAGAAUCGAUAUACGGCUUCGAACCGACUCAGCUAAAUCGAUACAACAUCGAUACCUACACGACCGAGCGAGUGGUUCUACCAGACACAUCGUCCUUCAUACAUUCUCCCAUACAAACUCCUAUAUACCACGCUAAUGGGAAAAUACAUAAACAUAGAAAACCUUCCAGUCCUACAGUUUCAUUCCCAAAGUACAAUAAUUAUGUGAAGAGUAAGAACAAGUUUGACAAAUAUACGAGGGUGCUGCUGCCUUUGGAUCUACUUGGAAUUACUAAUAAUAAUAUUCAAGAAAACCUCGAAACAAACUACGAAUCUCGCGCCGUAUUCUCCUACCUCCAAUACUCCCGUAACACGUCACAAAUGAUGCCUCUUCGGAUGGACGAGUCAGUCAGUCAACGGUGGGGAGUCAACAUCACUGUCGGCUCCCCCAUCAUACAGCUAGCACUGUUUGUACCGGAGUACGUAUGGACUAAGGAGGCCAGUGAAGAGGAUAAUUCGCUUGAAAACAGCUUGGAGGAUGUUGAAGGUAUUGUCUAUGCCAACAAAGGCAACCACCAUCAAAUGAACAACCACGUCAAUCAGAACUCCCAACCGAAAAACACGUGGCCGCUCGACGACCCACAGAUACAAGACAACCACGGCCCAGUAGUCAUACAACCAACAUUCAAAAAACAAGAGAAAUCAUACGCCAACGAAGAUUUUCAAGAAAACGAAUCGUCUUACGUCGAGGACAAAAUAGAAACCAACGAAGGACCUAAAGUGAUGGCGCUAGUGUCGGAAAUGGGGAACUCUACUAAGGACGGUGGCAAAAAGAAGUUGAUCUAUAAAAGCUUGAGUGGCAUUAGGUUGAAGAGACCCGUUAGACUGCAGAUGUGGCUGGAUAUUGAUCGGGAGACGUUUGGAUCUAGGACCAACCCUCAAUGCGUGCACUGGUCUACUUUUAGAGGAUCUGGAGAAUGGUCUCGAGUAGGUUGUCACACGGAGAUCGACUACGAUUGGUCCCCAUACUCCAAUGAACCGCUGCUUAUCAACUGUACCUGCAACCAUCUGUCCACCUUCGCUGUACUCGUUGAUGAGGUGGAUAUUGAGUUCAUCCCAGAACCCUCCCUCCUGGAAUCAGUAACAUCAUACACAGCCUUCAGCAUAUCCCUACCACUGCUCCUGAUCACAUGGCUGGCUCUCUGCCUGAUGCGAGGCGGCGCUGCUACUGUCUCCAACUCCAUACACAAGCAUCUCAUCUUCUGCGUGUUUAUGGCUGAACUGCUGUACGUCAUCGCUUUGAAAGCCAGGACUUCUUUGGUGCAAAAUGAAUUCGUGUGCAAGGUGGUGGCGAUGUCGCUGCACUACUGGUGGGUGUGCGCGCUGGCGUGGUGCGCGUGCGACGGCUGGCAGCUGCGGCGCCUGGUGCGCGAGCUGCGCGACGUCAACCACGCCGGGCUGGCCGCGCACCUCGCCGCCGCAUACGCCGCGCCCGCCGUCGUACUCGCGCUCGCUGCCUCGCACCACCAGCAUCAGUACGGGAACGCGCUCUUUUGCUGGGUGAGCUGCCACGAGCCGGUAGUAUGGUGGGUGGUGAUACCGGCCGCGGUGUACGCGGGGGCCGCGCUCGUAUUCCUCGCCGGAGCCACGCGCGCCGCCUUCACUGUACGAGACCAUGUUAUUGGGUUUGGAAAUCUAAGAUUACUGCUGGGAGUGAGCGUGGUUUGCGUCCCCCUGGUGGUGGUGUCGUGGGCGAGCGCGCUGUUGCUGGGCAGCGAGGUGGGGGGGCGGCGCGACGCGCUCAGUGCCGCGCUGGCCGCCGCCGUCGCUGCACACGCCGCUGCGGCUGCGCUAGGGUACAUCGCCUUCAAUAUACGCGUCAGGGAUAAUCUUAAGAGGACGGUACUAAGAUGUUUGGGCAAGAAAGUGCCUCUAGUCGACACAUCAAUCAUAGUCAGCAGCAGUGCUCAAAACUUAUCACAAGUUAACAGGUCUGCCCUGGCGUAUCAUAGUAGUACGGAGCCAGGACGCCAGAUGAGAAAUAUAGGAAUAUCAGCAUCAUCCACCACUUCUAGAUCUACUACUAAAACUAGUUCCAGCCCUUAUAGUCGCAGCGAUGGACAACUUCGACACACAAGUACUUCAACAUCCAACUACAAUACAAGCGCGAGUGACAUGCCCGCGUACUUGAGAGGAUUCGACUCCUCCCUUCAUACUAGAAAAGAUGAUGAGGGUCGUCGUCGUCGCAAAGCGGUGACAGAUGGUGAAACGACAGGAGAGACUGGUGAGGAAGCCACAGAGGCUACUGAUAGUGACAGUGACGGAAGCGCCAGGAGUUUGGACCUCGCCUCCAGCCACUCCUCUGAUGACGACGAGACCAGCACUCGAAGAUCUAGUCAUCCACCUUCAGCUAACAGAGAUCGAGCCACCAGCGGCAGUGUUGCCAGCUAUUUACCGAAUAUUACAGAAGGAGCACCGCUAGCCAUUCAACCAAGAUGGCCGUCACAUAUACGAGAAGAAUCAAACCGACCAGAAAUGGGUAGAUGGUCACAAGAAACAGCAUCGGACAAUGAAGGUAACAAUGGAGGUAUGGCGUCUCCAUCUCCCAACCCACUGCCCAACCCUGACCUGACGUCUGACGUGUACCAGCUCAGCAGACAUCGGAUGAAGCCUUCGAUACUGGAGAACGUCCACGAUACUUACGUUGCGAGUGUGGACGCAUCUAGAUUACCACUUGAUAAUAGAUACGGCGUAAUGGAUGACGAACUCAUGUACGGGGUGCUCCCAACGGACACAGAAAAACAAAUGCAGUAUGACCCUAACUAUCCCAUAUCACCGACUAUGUACAGACUGCCAGGCAACCCUUACGGAUCCAAAACCUACCUCCCUUCAAGAACCUCAGACUAUGGGUUCAGCCCCACAAAAUAUUUAACGGGCGACCCCAACGUCUAUGGGUCUAGGGACUUCAGAGACUCUGGAGUGUCCACCAGAGAACACGAUGGGUACCCGCCGCGGGAUUUUCGGGAUUCUGGCAUAGCCACCAUGUUGAAAAAUGACUAUCAAAGAAAGAUGGACGGUCAUUAUGGUGCAGAUUAUACGGACAGAAUGUCUGAGGGAUCAGAUAAGCAUCAUGACAAAUAUUUGUUCCCGUAUACAGCUGAAGAAGAUCACGCACACUUGCGUGGCAUCAACCAGGCACCGCAAGUCCGUAGUAGUGAGAUGGCACACCCAGCUGAUAAUCAACAGCAGAUGGGGGCGCCACUGGCGAGUAUGGGCGAGACGAGCGAAUGGUGGCGGUUGUAUGAGAAACACUCAUUGUAAUCAUCUUUUGCUUUGCUAACCUGGUGGUGUUGCCGCGCAAUCAUCUUCAACCAUUUAGGGAGGAGGAAAUCUACUACUGAAGACGAUGCAGAAACGAGAGUGUGACGACGUUAAAUAGUACAAGAUUUCCAAUGAAUCUCAAUUAGUUAUAAUUUAAUAUUAAAACUUCUUCGUAAUUUUAUAACGAUUAGUGUUAAUUUAUGCAAAGACUGUCGUUCAAUCAGUACCCACUGCCAUAGUGUAGAGUAUCGAGUAUUUAUUUUGAAAUUAUUGUCUAUGCUUUAAGUAGUAAGUAUAGUGGAACUGAAAUAGAAUUUAAUGUAUUGAAUACUCAUUUUUUGUCGGGUUUAAUGUUUGAAAGUUGAUUCGUGUGUUUAAGUUUUAGGGGGACGUAAUCAGUAAUCACACAACUUGUGAACAAAUAGGUAUUUUACCCACUCAGAUCUACUGGCGUCUAUUUAUUCUCAUUUAGGACCUAUAUCACAAUAGUUCAUUAAGUUUUAUAAACUUAACUAACACAGUUAAUAUGGAAAAUACUUCAAUACACCUUGUUGUGUGAAUACGCUAUACGCCCAAAGCCCUAAGAAUCUCACAAAAAUGCUCAGCGAUUAAGCAAAAUGCUACAAUCACGAUUACAUACCUCUACUUAUAAAGAUGUGUACAUAAAUACUAUCUAGAUAUUAUCUUUAUCAAUACACUCAAAUGUAGUAGAAAAUUUAUAAAGAAUUUAUUUUAGCGUGCGUUCGUGUAGAAAUAUUGCAUGCCUAUCGAAGUAAUAAUUUUAUUAAAUAAUGACAUCCAAAGUCAGUCUUGUAAAUAUUUAAGUUAGCUUUGGAGUGAACGUUUACCGACUUUUAUUCAAAUACUAAAGUAUUCUCGUACAUAAGUAUACUCAUGAUUAUGGGCCCUGGCCUGGCUUGAAAUUGAUCGAGUAAACUUGUCUAACAUUUAUGUGAAUAAGUCGUAAACAGAACUUAAUUAAUUAACCAACAUUUUUUGAUUUUUUUAUCAUCAUCUUACCAAUCAAAAACAUACGCCUUUCUAUACAACAACACAAGAAAAUUAAUAAAAUUCGAUAAACUUCACUCCAUAUAAUGUAGUGCAAAAUAUGAAUUACUUUUAUUUUUAUAUAAGAAAACCAAAACUAUCGUUUGUAAACAACGUUAGAAUAAGAUUAUGUAGGAAUGAUAAUGUUUGUGUAACUGAGAAUGCAUUUUACAUUAUUUACUUGUGUGAGAGUAUUAUUUUUCACAUUGAUCCUAGCGUUUAUAGGUGUCUUUACCUUAUUCAUUGUAGAAAAAAAAUUAAGAUUUGACAAAAAGAAUCCGUUCUUUUAUUGCUGAAUGUUUGUUCUUGGAAUUGGAGUUGGAAUUGGAAUAAUAAUAAAAGAGUAUGUAUCAUUCUAUUUCCGAAGUUCUCAUAAAACUAUGUAAAUAGCGUGUUGUGUGCAUUCCUAGCGUUUUAACGAAGAGUCCACCUAUUUUGUAAAUAAUAGAUUUUUACACUUUUAGUAGUUAAUUAGGGACUAUAAUAAUAAUAGUGGAAUAUUAUGUGAAAGCUUUAUUUAGAUAUUCUGUAGUGUCAGAUUGCCAUAAUUAAUAUUUAAUGAGUUCGUAGCUGCACUAUGAAUGCGAACAUAGAUGAUGGAUAUUUUUCAACAGAUCUGCUACUGUUUGCUGUUUAGUGAAAUCAGGCGUUUCUUCACAUUGAUAUAAUAUUAAAAGUGGCAAUUUUAUUCACUUAAACUUAACUCUAUUGUGUGUUCAUGUAGUCGUAAUAUUUACUUGUCUACGCUUUACUUUCUAUAAACUAUAUAUCUAAUUUAUAUUAUUAUGCAAUGUUUGUCCAGAACAAUAAUUCUAGGAUUUAACAGCAGAUUCAAAAACCCUCUUCCUAAUUUAAAUAAAUUCCGUUUAUUUUGCUCAAUGUAACAUUUAAAUUAUUUUACACACUUACGUAAGUGAUUCUAAAUUAUAUUGCCUUGUAUAAAUUGCAUUUGCCACUUUUACGGUUUACCCAAGUAUUCGGCUCAUUUUUAUAUUUAACAUUCCAUUUUGUGAUAUCUUAAUUAUCUUUCACCAUUUUCUAUAUAUUGUACCUUUACAGGCAAUGUUUAUAUAGUGGUACAAAACAUUUGAAUUGUUUUAUAAUGAAAUAAAAUAUUUUAUU